UCCUACGGGAGGCAGCAGUGGGGAAUAUUGCACAAUGGGCGCAAGCCUGAUGCAGCAACGCCGCGUGAGGGACGACGGCCUUCGGGUUGUAAACCUCUUUUAGCAGGGAAGAAGCGAAAGUGACGGUACCUGCAGAAAAAGCACCGGCUAACUACGUGCCAGCAGCCGCGGUAAUACGUAGGGUGCAAGCGUCGUCCGGAAUUAUUGGGCGUAAAGAGCUCGUAGGCGGUUUGUCGCGUCUGCUGUGAAAACCCGAGGCUCAAUCUCGGGCCUGCAGUGGGUACGGGCAGACUAGAGUGCGGUAGGGGAGAUUGGAAUUCCUGGUGUAGCGGUGGAAUGCGCAGAUAUCAGGAGGAACACCGAUGGCGAAGGCGGUUCUCUGGGAAUGUUCUGACGCUGAGGAGCGAAAGUGUGGGGAGCGAACAGGAUUAGAUACCCUGGUAGUCCACACCGUAAACGUUGGGCGCUAGGUGUGGGACACAUUCCACGUGUUCCGUGCCGCAGCUAACGCAUUAAGCGCCCCGCCUGGGGAGUACGGCCGCAAGGCUAAAACUCAAAUGAAUUGACGGA
rnacentral:rRNA from 1 species